rnacentral:rRNA from 1 species
CGCUUCGUUUGAUUGAAUUCAUAGUCAAACGAGGCGAACCGGGGGGAACUGAAACAUCUCAGUACCCCGAGGAAAAGAAAUCAACCGAGAUUCCCCCAGUAGCGGCGAGCGAACGGGGAGCAGCCCAGAGUCAGCAUCAAUAUUUACCGCAGGAGAAGGGUCUGGAAAGGCCGGCAAUAAAGGGUGAUAGCCCCGUAUCUGAAGCGGUAAGUGUUGUGAACUCGAAGAGUAGGGCGGGACACGUGUUAUCCUGUCUGAAUAUGGGGGGACCAUCCUCCAAGGCUAAAUACUCCUGACUGACCGAUAGUGAACUAGUACCGUGAGGGAAAGGCGAAAAGAACCCCGGCGAGGGGAGUGAAAUAGAACCUGAAACCGUGUACGUACAAGCAGUGGGAGCACCCGAAAGGGUGUGACUGCGUACCUUUUGUAUAAUGGGUCAGCGACUUAUAUUCUGUAGCAAGGUUAACCGCAUAGGGGAGCCGUAGGGAA